CAGAACUGUAAUGAUUUGGAGCUAUAAAUGAUGGAAGAUUUAUGUAUAGAUUUCAGAGGUGGCAUUCAGGGAAACUUCCUUGAUGUCCUGCACAGAUGUCACUGCUGACUCAUAGGUUUAGAGUUUCAUAGAAAUUAAGCGGAAGUGAAGACUCAGACACCUCGGAUUCUUGGUCAUCCUUGUUACAGUUAAAGAACGGGCUUGGAUUUGUUCCUCCAUAUCUGCCUCUUGCCUCCUGCAUUUUAGAAGGUUUGAAAACCACUGCCAGGUAAGAAUUUCUUUUUGAUGUGUUUGAUGUCUCAGACUCCUCUGUUCAUACUGCCAGUUCAUUUGCAGGUAUUCUGUCUAGUAGUUUUAUAUAAGUAAAUUUUAGUAUUUAUCAGCAUAAGCUAGCAAGAUGGAAACGGUAAAGAAUUUGGAGUCUUCUUUUCACAAACAGAAGGGAAUUUAGGACUGUUGAUUGGUACUAGUUAAUGUUAAGCAGAUUCUUCUAUUCUCAGGCUAUAUCAGGUAGACUUCUUCCAUUGCAAAGAGCAAAACUGCUAGUCACAGCCCUGACAGUCAGGUAACCAAACUAUGUGAUGUCUUCCAGUGCUAUGGAGUAUUUUACUAAGGAAGUCUGGCUGUGUACUGUUAUCAGAUUAUGAUUUAACAGCUACUUUUAGUUGUAAUCAUUUUUUUUUCCUUGGCCCAUUGCAUGAUACACUGUUGUUGUAUAAUAUUGCAUAAAUAUGCAUUGUGCAUAUUAUUCCCUAAUAUAAUCUGAUUUUAUUAGAUUUCAAAAUCAAAGAAGUAUCACUUAAUAUAAGCAGAAUUUGGUUGAAUGGGAG
rnacentral:lncRNA from 1 species